rnacentral:rRNA from 1 species
AGAGUUUGAUCCUGGCUCAGGAUGAACGCUAGCGGCAGGCUUAAUACAUGCAAGUCGAGGGGCAACAGGGGUAGCAAUACCUGCUGGCGACCGGCAAACGGGUGCGGAACACGUACAGAACCUUCCUUUAAGCGGGGGAUAGCCCAUAGAGAUGUGGAUUAAUACCCCAUGGUAUUGCUUUGUGGCAUCACAUGGUAAUUAAAGAUUUAUCACUUAAAGAUGGCUGUGCGGCUGAUUAGGUAGUUGGUCGGGGUAAUGGCCCACCAAGCCAACGAUCAGUAACUGGUGUGAGAGCACGACCAGUCACACGGGCACUGAGACACGGGCCCGACUCCUACGGGAGGCAGCAGUAAGGAAUAUUGGUCAAUGGACGCAAGUCUGAACCAGCCAUGCCGCGUGAAGGAUGAAUGCCCUCUGGGUUGUAAACUUCUUUUAUCUGGGAAGAAAUGCCUGUUUUUUAACGGGUUUGACGGUACCAGAGGAAUAAGCACCGGCUAACUCCGUGCCAGCAGCCGCGGUAAUACGGAGGGUGCAAGCGUUAUCCGGAUUCACUGGGUUUAAAGGGUGCGUAGGUGGGUUGGUAAGUCAGUGGUGAAAUCUCCGUGCUUAACAUGGAAACUGCCAUUGAUACUACUGAUCUUGAAUUUUCUGGAGGUAAGCGGAAUAUGUCAUGUAGCGGUGAAAUGCUUAGAUAUGACAUAGAACACCAAUUGCGAAGGCAGCUUACUACAGGGAUAUUGACACUGAGGCACGAAAGCGUGGGGAUCAAACAGGAUUAGAUACCCUGUAGUCCACGCCCCUAAACGAUGGAUACUCG